GAUGAACGCUGGCGGCGUGCUUCAUACAUGCAAGUCGAACGGGGUCCAGUCAGUGGCAACACUGAGGACGACCUAGUGGCGAACGGGUGAGUAACACGUGAGGAACCUAUCCCGGUCUCUGGAAUAACAAGUGGAAACACUUGCUAAUACCGGAUGCCGUCAUCACCUCUCCUGGGGAGAUGACGAAAGAUUUAUCGGAUCGGGCGGGCCUCGCGGCCUAUCAGCUAGUUGGUGGGGUAACGGCCUACCAAGGCAUCGACGGGUAGCUGGUCUGAGAGGAUGAUCAGCCACACUGGGACUGAGACACGGCCCAGACUCCUACGGGAGGCAGCAGUAGGGAAUCUUGCGCAAUGGGCGAAAGCCUGACGCAGCAACGCCGCGUGCGGGAAGAAGGCUCUCGGGUUGUAAACCGCUUUCAGUAGGAACGAAUUUGACGGUACCUGCAGAAGAAGGUGCGGCCAACUACGUGCCAGCCGCCGCCGUAA
rnacentral:rRNA from 1 species